rnacentral:rRNA from 1 species
AAUAUUUGACAAUGGGCGCAAGCCUGAUCCAGCCAUGCCGCGUGAGUGAUGAAGGCCUUAGGGUUGUAAAGCUCUUUCGUCAGGGAAGAUAAUGACGGUACCUGAAGAAGAAGCCCCGGCUAACUUCGUGCCAGCAGCCGCGGUAAUACGAAGGGGGCUAGCGUUGCUCGGAAUCACUGGGCGUAAAGCGCACGUAGGCGGCUUUCUAAGUCAGGGGUGAAAUCCCGGAGCUCAACUCCGGAACUGCCUUUGAUACUGGAGAGCUUGAGUUCGGGAGAGGUGAGUGGAACUGCGAGUGUAGAGGUGAAAUUCGUAGAUAUUCGCAAGAACACCAGUGGCGAAGGCGGCUCACUGGCCCGAUACUGACGCUGAGGUGUGAAAGCGUGGGGAGCAAACAGG